rnacentral:lncRNA from 1 species
CAUUUUCAUCUGUUUGGUGUAUUUGUAUAAAUUAAGCAAUUCCUUUUCCACUCCAUCCUAGUCUCCUCUAUCUUAGGUAAGAGUCGUUGGUGCCAGUAAGCUUUACAAUUUCGUCUGUAAUCUUCAGGAACUCCAGGUUCCAGGUGAGACCUGAAUGAAUUAUCCUCAGCCGGGGAUGCAGGGAACACGGGGACUUGGUGUCCACUUUUUGGAAACACAGCGGGACGGUCUCCGUCCACGCCAAGGACAGCUGCACCCUGUCGGGCAGAAGCCCCAGGGCGGGGUGCCCAGCACCGGGUUCCCCAGCGCAGAGCCCGCCCUUCCCUGUCCUGCUUGGCGACACGCCUCUGCCAGCGGCUCCCUACGAAGGGGAGCGGAAGGCAGGCGGCGGGAGGAGGCUCCUCGCUUUUAGGUGCCUGUCCUUCCUCUUGGGCUGUCCCAGCGACGGCCACCCUCGCCAGCACGGGACCCAUAGCAGCCUCGCCCGCAGCUCCCAGGCCUCAAGAGACGAGCCCUGCCGCCCUCUGCUGCACCCAGGCCCGAAAUCAGAGUCAGGGGCGGGAGCAGGUGGAGCGGGGACGGCAGGGCGGCUUCCAAGCGAGGCGGGGGUUCUGCAGGAACUGGCUGGAGCUGGCCUGGAGGCCUCUGCCUGCCGAGGACCCCUGGGAAGUUUCAGAAGACGCCCUUCACCAAACAACGAGACCCAUGCCCGUGAGUUCCACGGUGACUCCGCGGGAGGCCGAGCUGGUACUGACUGUCCCCAUGGCAACAGGGGUGAUGGGACACCAGAGGAGAAGAGGUUCGGCGGCAGACGUAACCCGCAGCGGCAGGCGUCGAGCAGAGGGGUGGCCAGGAUGCCCUCGGCAGGGCGAGAUGCAGGGCGGCCUGGGCGCUGCUGCUCAGCUGCUGCAAGCAGAGGAACCCCGGACUCCGCCGGGCAGAAAUCCGACAGCAGGCACCAGUCCCUCACGGGGCUUCCAGACACAAGUCCAGGUCAAAGACUCGCAGCUCCUGGACCAAAGGGGAUGCCAGACGCCCUUGGAGAGGGACCUGCAAUGGCUCUUCGGGGGGCCCCCAGUCCUCCCCCGGAGAGUCGGUGGCCUGGGAAAGGGGAUACCAGACUUUGGGAGACCGUUCGGUAUGGUAUCUAAACUGACCCUGACACGGGGGUUUCGCGAUAUCGCCCAGGCCCUCGGCUCAGGGAACACAGGCCCGGGGUAGGCGGCACUGAGGCCCACGUCCAGCCGCGGGAGGUCCAGCGGGGACAGGUGCACUUAGCUGCUGGCAGAAAGCUCCCACAGCUCCUUGACCAGCAGGGCUGCCACGGCAGGCAGAGCCAAGCGGGAGCCCAGGAGCCUCCCCCUCCGACAGGAGAGUGAGCAAGACGGGAAGAGCGCUUGCCUGGAGGAGCUGCGGAGACCAGCGCCAGCCCGAAGUCUUGACGGACCCCAGCUGGGAUCUGACAAAGGGCAGUGGCGCCAAGGUGGUCCAGACGGUGCCGAAACAGCUGGACGUCCACCUGGACGCAGACUUCACACCUUUCACAGCCAUGAACUCAAGAGGUACCACCCUCCUAAAUGUCAAUACAACACGAAGCCGACUCCUAAACGACCUGAUUUUUUUUUUGCCAUUUCUUGGGCUGCUCCUGUGGCAUGUGGAGGUUCCCAGGCUAGGGGUCGAAUCAGAGCUUGUAGCCGCCGGCCUACGCCAGAGCCACAGCAACGCGGGAUCUGAGCCGCGUCUGCAACCUACACCACAGCUCAUGGCAACGCCAGAUCCUUAAGCAAGGGCAGGGACCGAACCCACAACCUCCUGGUUCCUAGUCGGAUUUGUUAACCACCACGCCACGACGGGAACUCCAACAACCUGAUUUUAAAAUGAGCAAAAGAGAGGUCCUAUUGUGGCGCAGCGGAAACAAACCCGACUGGUAUCCAUAAGGACGCAGGUUUGAUCCCUGGCCGUGCUCACUGGGUUAAGGAUCCGGCGUUACCCAGCCUGUGGUACACACAGGCUGCAGACGCGGCUUGGGUUUCCCAUUCCCCACCGCUGUGGCUGUGGUGUAGGUGGCAUGAGCCACCACCACACACCUCUCGGAAAGGCCAGGAUCAGACUCCGGCAACACAAGUGCUACUCAGGACCAUUCACUGCUGGCGGGAUGCAGGAUGGCGCGGCCACUUUGGAAGACCGUCUGGCAGCUUCUGCCCCUCCGAUGACUCCGUCACGAUCCUUGGUGUCUUCCAGCCAAAGCGCUAAAAACGUGCAUCCAGGCAAAAACCUGCGACGGUUGCCUGCAGCGGCUUUGGUCAUAACUGCCAAAACCCGGAAGCAACCGAGCCCUUCGGUGGGCGAGUGGAUAGACGGUGGUCCAGCCAGACGACGGGUUAGUCAGCAGUAAAAAGAAAGAGCCAUCAGCCUUGAAAAGACAGAGGAGCCUAAAAUGCACACCACCAGGUCAAAGAGGCCACCUGGAAAUGGCUGCAUCCAGUACGAUUGCAGCUCUGUCACCUUCUGGAAAAGGCAAAGCCAUGGAGACAACAAAAAGAUGGGUGGAUGGGAGGGACCGAGGGGGUGGGAGGAGGAGACAGAAGGCGGGGGCACCCAGCGCUGUGACAACACCGUGAGGCCGCCGGGAUGGACACCCGCCAUCAUCCAUCUGUCCAAACCCACAGAAGGUGCAGCACCAAGAGCCCGAACCGUGGCAAGCCAGCGCGGGCUCCUCAACCGCAGCCAGGGUCCCCGGGGGGCAGGGGCGGGUGGUGAUCCUGUAUCACCGGGGAGGCGCCACACGUGCGGGGACUGGGCACUUACGGGAAACCUCUGUGCCUUCCCCUCAAUUUCACCUUUAAAAACAAAGCCUAAAACAAACAAAUGAACAAACAAAAAAGCAAAAAAAGUUUAAAAAAUUUAAUUAAAAAAUAGGAGUUCCCAUUGUGACUCAGCGGAAACAAAUCUGACUAGUAGCCAUGAGGACGCAGGUUCAAUCCCUGGCCUCGCUCGGUGGGUUAAGGAUCCUGCGUUGUUGUGACUGUGGGGCAGGCCGGCAGUUUUAGCUCCUAUUCAACCCCUGAGAACCUCCAUAUGCCGCAGGUGCAGCCCUAAAAAGACAAAACGUAAAAAUAAAUACAUAAUAAAAACACAAAUGAGCAUGAGGGCGGCCAUCUUACUGCCUUUAAAUUCACGCGUUUCUGGCCUUGGCAAGAAACAAAUGGUGGUGGGAGACGACGGAUGACAGAAGCGGAAGUGGUGUCUCCACCGCAGCAGAUCCACGGCCUUGGGCCCUUUGCUGGGCACCUGCUCACUUGGUAAAUGCCUGCUCCCAUCACUGUGAGGGCGCAUGCGGCUCGCCCCAGCGGGCGAGGGUGGCAGCAGACGCUCACUGCUUUGUCUCGGGACACCGGUUACGCCCAGGCUUCCCGUCACAGGACGGGUAUCAGGGACUGCGGUGGGCAUCACUCGGCAAAGGGGAAUAAAGACUGCAGGUGGGGUGCGCCCGCCGAGGCGUUUUCGAUGAUUCCUGGCCCAGCCCUAGGGCGCGGGUUAAAGAACGCGGGGCAGGUCGCAGCUGCGGCUCGGAUUCACCCCCGGACCAGGAAGUUCCAUACGACGUGGGGGCGGCCGAGAAAAGGGAGCAAACGACUGGAGGUGAACUGAGCUUGCUAAUCAGUUGCCCCCAGGGAGGGAAGCCGUCCUGGAUUAUCUGUGAAGAUUCAGUGCGACCACAAGGGCCUUUCCAGCAGGAGGGACUCGGGAGGAGACACAGGGGAGUGGCCGACUUUGAAGACCUGGGGGGUGGACACGACACGCUGACAUCUUGCUGAUCCAGGAAGUUCCAGAGAGUAGGAGAUAAAGCCUCGCUAAUGAAGCUCUCAGGGUCAUAGAUCUGGGACCUGCCCGGACGCCCCGAGGCAGAGUAAACUACUACACCUCGGACGGCCUUCCAUCAGGGGCCAGAGGCUCUGGCUGAGGCGUGAGCUGCUGGGCUGCUGGGCUGAGCGACCGGCAGGUCUGAUGAGCUGAAGGCACCGGCGGGAGAACCGCGCCGAGGGGACUCUGGCGAGAGCCCGGCACACACAGCAUAGACUUCAGGCUCCAGAGCGAGGCCACGGCUUCCCCGGCAGAACAGCUCCCGGUGCCGUCGGCCCCGGCGCACCCGGGACUCCAGCCUGCGCACCAGAGGACAAGCAACCUGGGUUCCCCACCCCAGCCAAGGUCCUCGCUCCACGGACGGGUGGCACAGGCGGACAGAGGGAUCCAAGGACACCCACACUCCUCUGGCCUGUGCUGCUGGAGCGGCCCCGCCCAUGCCACCAGCACUCCUGGGGGAGGUGGUGGAGGAGGGAGGGACUCGGGCUGGAUCCGCAGAGCUCAGUCCACGUGGGGCCCGCUGCCACAUCACAGCUCCUGGCUCAGGACGCCCUGAAGGACAGUGGUGGGGGCUCCCCCGGGGGGGCUGCUUAGCCACUUCCCGUGGUGGAAAGAGCAGAUACACGGACGCCAGGAAAACAGCGAAGGGCUUGGCUGGUCCAUCGGGAGCCUGAAAUGAGCAAGCCUCCAACCACAGUGACAGGCGGGCCUGGGGAAAGGCACACAGGUGGUGCUGCCGCAGGGCCAGGUCUGAGGGUACCGAGCAGCCAGGGGCGGCUCUGCGUCUCCCAGCCAAUUCCCCCGACAGAGCCCACCGCGGAGGAGGCAUCGGAGAGGCAGGUGGACAUCACAGCUGUCCUGUGGACGCUGGCCACCAGUGCCUAGGCAAAGGCCCGUGAACGGAGGGGCCGAGGUGGCCGGGAUGGUGGUGACACAUGGGCCCAAGAGCACAUGCCCCUCUAAUCAAGGCCGAUCUGGACCCGUUCUGCCGAGUAGCCUUUAGGUCGACUCAGACACUCUGGCUGACAAUUGGGGCAGAUCAUCAGAAGCGCGGGGGGUGACAGGAGGGCAACACUGAUCCACGCGAUGCUGCCCCGGGGGACGAAUGCAAAGAAGGCGCUGGGCCAGUGAAUGGCCACGAGGCCUUGCCCCGGGCUCAUGAGACUCCUGAGCAGGGAAGAAGGUGGGGCCCCGUGCACAGCCUCCACCCCGGGCCCGGGCAGAGCCGUCCCGCGUGACACCUCGCAUGGCGAGGAUGGCACGGCUUCCGGCUGGGAUGGAGCCCAUUGUACGGCCGCACCUGCAGACCCGCCCGCUCACCCCAAACGCAGUCCUGGCACCUGUCUUGCCUCUGAGCCGGCACCCACUUCUAGCAGAAAGAGGCGAUGCCACGGCCCGCCCUGCCUUAGUCCUUGUCAGACAGAGCUCUGGCCUCAGAGAAGAGUGGAAGGCUGGAAGCCCUGACCGGGUAAGGUUGGGCUCGGUCUGGAAAGUUCCGUGGGGGCCCACGUUCCACCACAGAAAUCAAAAUGGGGGAGCGGGUGUCUGACCCCUCCCUGACACAGGAGUGUGGUUCAAGGCCGGACCACCCUUCCCACCCGGCGCCUAGAUCUUGAGCAGUGACCCCAGGUCGGAACAAUCAGAAGCGACACUCGCAGAGCCGCAGAGUCGAGAGCAGAGGCGCGGACGGCCGCUACUCAUCCUCACCGGACACUUUCUGGGGCCUGAGCUGCCCUGUUCUCUGCUUCCCUCCCCUCUGCCUCUUUCUGAGCCCAAACCUCCUGCGGCUGGACAGCCUUCCGGUACGUACGCUGGGCGCGGGUAGCUUCUACGAAACCACGGUCAGGCCUCUGCAGACCUUCUGUGGUCUGCCUGUCCUCAGGGCAAGGUGGGGCUCCGUACUCUGGCCCUUGGCAGGGGCGGCGGUGCAAAGGUGACUGCCGGUUCUGGGAGCUCAUCCUGGGCGUAAGGCCAGCACCACUCAGGGCAGGAUCACGCGAGACAGGCUGCCCGUGGCCAGCUGACAGAAGGGAGAAGCCAGCUUAGCGCUGGAGUCUGGGGUGGGGAGACCUGGAGGGGCUGAAAGAAGCCGGGAGCUCACCGAGCAGCAUGCUGCGGUGGGUGGGGUUCGGACACAGUGGGGGAGCAGUGGAGGAAGACCAGGCACGAGAAGUCAGGGGGACACGGGUCUGCAGUCUGGAUGCGCCGUGGACUUUGAGGACACCCAGUGGAGGGCUGGGAUGGACCUGAAUAGGAGUUGGGCCCCAGGCAGAAAAUCUGGAUAAAGACGCAGCCCCGAGGCCCUGCCGGAGACCACGGAGGCUGCGAGCUGGGAAGACACAGCCCCCACACGGGCAGACACCCUGCAGCCCAGGAAGCCUUUGUGCCCAGGGAGACCUGGCCACAGCAUGUAGUGGCCC